rfam:Myotis lucifugus cont2.32153, whole genome shotgun sequence.
AUUGGGGAGGGAAGGUCCCUCAGCCCGGAUUGUGAGAGGGUGCAGGCCAGGUCGAGGGACCCCACCAGUGCACG